GUUCAAUUGAAUUAUUCGAUACACGUCUCGUGUGCAACAUUUUUAAUUUAAGUUCGACGGAAUCGCGUUCUGUUUUUUUCUCUAGUACGGUUGAUUCGUGAAUGGAUUUCAAAUGGGAUCGAAACGCAUCAGUAAUAACGGUUAUCAGCAGGAUCAGAAUGAAAUUUAUUUAAUGAUUUUCAAUACACGGAAGGCAAUCAUCACAUACAUAUGAUUCUAAAUCAUAUAACACGAUUUUGAAUAACACGGAAUCAAUUAACCGUAUUAUUCGAGAAUUUCAUGUAUAUCGUAAGGUAUGUAUAUCAUUGAGGUAUGCAUGAUUAUAUAUCGUUUGAUUAUAUCGUACGUACCUCCAGAAACAUAUUUCUAUACAUAUUUUAAUAGUUUGAAAUCAAAUAAAUAGAUAAAACAGAUGAAUAUUACACUGUCAAAAGUAAAUAGAAUCGCGUUCUGCAUAAAUCGUUCGAAGUUUGGAUUUCAACAAGAAAAAUAACACGAAAGAAAAGAUGUUUGAAGCGCGUCGCGUCGCAGACUGAAGUUUUGCGAUGAGUUUCGUAGGUUGGAUGCCGGGACGCCAGGAUACCGGGGACUUCGCGACGCAUGCUCCAGGAUAUGUUACAUGACACAAUGUGUUUAAUGUAGAAUUUCAAGGAUUCUAUCAAUGAUACAUGAAAUAUUUAAUUUAAAUUUUUAAUUUGUUGAAAUAUAGUCGUAAUUACUAAAAUUAUAUUACAUUGUUUAAGAUUAGAUUAAAAAUAAAUAUAUUUAUACAUAUAUGGAAUAUUUUUAUAGGAAAGGAAAAUGAUAUUAAUUGGAGUUUAUAAGAAAUAAUAAUAAGAAGGAAUUUGUUAGAAUUUCUACAAUUCAUAACAAAGUAUAAAGCGUUUGAAACUCAUCUUUCCACCCUCUUGUGCUUGAACGAUUAUGUCGAACAAUUUAUUACUCACACGCUUACUCCAUGGCUUACGAUCCAAUACCAUCUUAUUAAUGCGAGGCUGUCGUACUGGGAUCGGAGAUGGAAGCUGAAAUAGUGAACGAGCUAUCCUAAAGAUUAUCGUAGUUUUUGAACAUUUACCUUUAAAAAUCAUCUUUGUUGAAAAAUUCAGACUUUUAUUGAUUAUCAUCGUCUGAAUCAAUGAUAUACUUUUUUGAAUAUAACUACAUAUAAAAGUAUUUAAUCUAUAUAUAUAUAAAUUUAAAUUGUAAUUGAGAAAUCAGUUUUUGAUAAUAUUUCUUUUUGAACAUUUUAUUUGAAAUGAUCAUUAGGAUUAUGCCAAGACUAUAUGAAUAUUAAGAAAUAUACAUCUCUUUUGAUUUAUGUAAAUUAUUCGUUAUACAUAAUUUUUAUUUUUUAUGAGAAAAUCAUAAAGUUCACUAAUUAUGAAAAAACUGAUAUAAUUUAAUAAAAAUGCUAGUGACAAUUAUA